rnacentral:tRNA from 1 species
GGCCUCAUAGCUCAGUUGGUUUGAGCGGUGGCCGUACUUAAGCUUUCCCCUUGCUUGCGUAGGUUUGAAUCCCACCGAGGCCG